UACCAGCACCCCGAGUGGUCGGGACGAUUAUUGGGCCUAAAGCAUCCGUAGCCGGUUCUGCAAGUCUCCCGUUAAAUCCAACUGCUCAACAGGUGGCUGCGGAGGAUACUACAGAGCUAGGAGGCAGGAGAGGCAAGCGGUACUCAGUGGGUAGGGGUAAAAUCCGUUGAUCCAUUGAAGACCACCAGUGGCGAAGGCGG
rnacentral:rRNA from 1 species